UACGUAGGGGGCGAGCGUUGUCCGGAUUUAUUGGGCGUAAAGAGCUCGUAGGCGGUUCGAUAAGUCGGACGUGAAAUCUCCACGCUCAACGUGGAGGGGCCGUUCGAUACUGUCGUGACUCGAGUCCGGUAGGGGAGUGUGGAAUUCCUGGUGUAGCGGUGAAAUGCGCAGAUAUCAGGAGGAACACCAGUGGCGAAGGCGGUGCUCUGGGCCGGAACUGACGCUGAGGCGCGAAAGCCAGGGGAGCGAACGGG
rnacentral:rRNA from 1 species